rnacentral:lncRNA from 1 species
UGGGCACUAGCGGAAACAAGACUAAAAUACAACUAUUCUCCCAAAAUAUAUUUGGGUUUAAUUGCUAAGCAAAACAUAAUAAGUUUAUAACCCAAAAGACAUGCGACGGACAUGUUCAACAAAAGAGGUACAUAUAUGAGGCCCUUUACAUAUUUUAUAGCAUUUGUAGAAUCUGGCAAAAAGAAAACUCCGCUGCACAACACACCUGCUUUCCAUUCCCUCUCAACCUGCACAUUUAGAAAUAUAUGCAGGGCUGAGUACAAAUACUCAGUGAACAUGUGCCGAAAGAUACAAUAUAUAUAAGACUUUAACAUUAUCAUGCCAUGAACUAGCAGCACACAGGGAUUUUAUUGUAAAGAACCUGUGUCUACCAAAAUAUUUUAUUACAAUAUAUCGUUAAAAUGCCUGCAGACAAUUCACAAGAGUAUGUACCAUCACAUCCACAAUAACCUCAGCCAAGUGACGGGGACGUAGGCCUCCUCCCACUCGCACCACGACCGGCCGACCGAGACGGCUCCCAGUCAAACAACCUUGAGCGCCGUCCCUUACUAGCAUAAUUGUCUAGCAUAGAGACCGAUAUCGAUUUAUACAGGGUGAUCAGCCCCUAAUAGCUCGGUACCAUACUCAAAAUCAUAAAGUAUUUUGGCAUGAUAUGUUUGCAUCGUCACUUUACUGAAAUGCUUUAUCGAAACAGAAUAUGAUUUUCACUAUUAUCAAAGUAAAUAAAUGCCCACCUGUGAUAUGCUUACUCAAUCACUAGUAUACUUCCUCUUCCUCACAAUGGUGUCGUCAAAGAUUCGUCGG